rnacentral:rRNA from 1 species
AAUAAGCUAAAUAAGAGCGUAUGGGGAAUGCCUAGGCUCUCAGAGGCGAUGAAGGACGUGAUAAGCUGCGAAAAGCUACGGGGAUUGGCACAUACAAGUUGAUCCGUAGAUAUCCGAAUGGGGCAACCCAGCAUGUUGAAGACAUGUUACACCGUAAGGUGAGCAAACCCGGAGAACUGAAACAUCUAAGUACCCGGAGGAGAAGAAAACAAAAGUGAUUCCGUUAGUAGUGGCGAGCGAACGCGGAUUAGCCCAAACCAGUAAUGUUA